CAGGCCUAACACAUCCAGUCGGACCGGGGUGCAUGGAGCUGAUCGCUUCGGUGUGAACCACCAGUUAUCCAGUGGCGAACGGGUGAGUAACACAUGGGUAACCUGCCCUCAGAUUGGGAUACUCCCGGGAAACCGGGCACAAUACCGGAUAUGAUUCCGAGUGAAAUGCCUAGGGAUAAAAGCUGCGGGCAACCGCAGCACCUGAGGAUGGCCCGUGGCCUAUCAGCUUGUUGGUGAGGUAAAAGCUCACAAAGGCCGAACGGGUAGCCGGACAGCACAAUCGAUCGGCCACACUGGAACUGAGACACGUCCAGACUCCUACGGGAGGCAGCAGUGGGGAAUUUUGCGCAAUGGGCGAAGCCUGAAGCAGCGACCCCGCGUGGGGGAAGAAGGCCUUCGG
rnacentral:rRNA from 1 species